CUAUGAGGAUGAUUACCAAUUGAACUCUCUCUUUCUGAGUCAUUAGUGAAGACUUUAAAAUUCUGAGUAGC
rnacentral:snoRNA from 1 species